CCUACGGGAGGCAGCAGUGAGGAAUAUUUGUCAAUGGACGAGAGUCUGAACCAGCCAAGUAGCGUGCAGGAUGACUGCCCUAUGGGUUGUAAACUUCUUUUAUAUGGGAAUAAAAUGUUCCACGUGUGGGAUUUUGUAUGUACCAUAUGAAUAAGGAUCGGCUAACUCCGUGCCAGCAGCCGCGGUAAUACGGAGGAUCCGAGCGUUAUCCGGAUUUAUUGGGUCUAAAGGGAGAUUAGGUGGAUUGUUAAGUCAGUUGUGAACGUUUGCGGCUCAACCGUAAAAUUGCAGUUGAAACUGGCAGUCUUGAGUACAGUAGAGGUGAGCGGAAUUCGUGGUGUAGCGGUGAAAUGCUUAGAUAUCACGAAGAACGCCGAUUGCGAAGGCAGUUCACUGGACUGCAACUGACACUGAGGCUCGAAAGUGUGGGUAUCAAACAGGAUUAGAUACCCCAGUAGUC
rnacentral:rRNA from 1 species